GUGUCAGUAUAAUGGUACCACAGUAUUACUCCUUAAAGGUGUCAGUAUAAUGGUACCACAGUAUUACUCCUUAAAGGUGUCAGUAUAAUGGUACCACAGUAUUACUCCUUAAAGGUGUCAGUAUAAUGGUACCACAGUAUUACCCCUUAAAGGUGUCAGUAUAAAGGUACCACAGUAUUACUCCUUAAAGGUGUCAGUGUAAAGGUACCACAGUAUUACUCCUUAAAGGUGUCAGUGUAAAGGUACCACAGUAUUACUCCUUAAAGGUGUCAGUAUAAAGGUACCACAGUAUUACUCCUUAAAGGUGUCAGUAUAAUGGUACCACAGUAUUACUCCUUAAAGGUGUCAGUAUAAAGGUACCACAGUAUUACUCCUUAAAGGUGUCAGUGUAAAGGUACCACAGUAUUACUCCUUAAAGGUGUCAGUAUAAAGGUACCACAGUAUUACUAAUUAAAGGUGUCAGUAUAAAGGUACCACAGUAUUACUAAUUAAAGGUGGCAGUAUAACGAGGUUGACUGUAGUGCAGGUCAGGUUUUCCUUCUGGUAGUUCACUGAAUCCUGUUUCUAAUUGGACAGAGGUCCUUCUGGAAGUUCAUUGAUUCCUGUCUCUAAUUGUACAAAGACAGAGAUCCUUCUGGUUGUUCACUGAUUCCUGUCUCUAAUUGGACAGAGAUCCUUCUGGUAGUUGACUGACUCCUGUCUCUAAUUGGACAAAGAGAAAGAUCCUUCUGGUAGUUCACUGAUUCCUGUCUCUAAUUGGACAAAGAGAAAGAUCCUUCUGGUAGCUCACUGAUUCCUGUCUCUAAUUGGACAAAGAGAAAGAUCCUUCUGGUAGUUCACUGAUUCCUGUCUCUAAUUGGACAAAGAGAAAGAUCCUUCUGGUAGCUCACUGAUUCCUGUCUCUAAUUGGACAAAGAGAAAGAUCCUUCUGGUAGUUCACUGAUUCCUGUCUCUAAUUGGACAAAGAGAAAUAUCCUUCUGGUAGCUCACUGAUUCCUGUCUCUAAUUGGGCAAAGAGAAAGAUCCUUCUGGUAGUUGACUGACUCCUGUCUCUAAUUGGGCAAAGAGAAAGAUCCUUCUGGUAGUUCAUUGAUUCCUGUUUUCUAAUUGGACAGAGAUCCAAUUCAAAUUUUAUUGGUCACAUACACAUGGUUAGCAGAUGUUAAUGCGAGUGUGGUGAAAUGCUUGUGCUUCUAGUUCCGACAAUGCAGUAAUAAUCAACGAGUAAUCUAACAUUUUCACAACAACUACCUUAUACACACAAGUGUAAGGGAAUGAAGAAUAUGUACAUAAAGAUAUAUGGAUGAGCGAUGGCCAUAUAUAACCCAUAUAAACAUAUUAAGUGGCAUUGUUUAAAGUGACUAGUGAUACAUUUUUCAUCAAUUUUGAAUUAUUAAAGUGGCUGGAGUUGAGUCAGUAUGUUGGCAGCAGCCCCUCAAUGUUAGUGGUGGCUGUUUAACAGUCUGAUGGCCUUGAGAUAGAAGCUGUUUUUCAGUCUCUCGGUCCCUGCUUUGAUGUACCUGUACUGACCUCGCCUUCUGGAUGAUAGCAUGGUGAACAGGCAGUGGCUCGGGUGGUUGUUGUCCUUGAUGAUCUUUAUGGUAAUUCAUUGAUUCCUGUCUCUAAUUGGACAGAGAUCCUUCAAUUCACUGAUUCCUGUCUCUAAUUGGACAGAGAUCCUUCUGGUAGUUGACUGAUUCCUGUCUCUAAUUGGACAGAGAUCCUUCAAUUCACUGAUUCCUGUCUCUAAUUGGACAGAGAUCCUUCUGGUAGUUGACUGAUUCCUGUCUCUAAUUGGACAGAGAUCCUUCAAUUCACUGAUUCCUGUCUCUAAUUGGACAGAGAUCCUUCAGUUCACUGAUUCCUCUCUAAUUGGACAGAGAUCCUUCUGGUGUGGAACAUACAGGCAUUAUAUAAUCAAAGCCUGUUUCCAGCAUGUUGGUAACUGUGGUACUUCUACUAAUAAUUGUAAGAGUUGGAUGUGGUGAUGUCAUCAUGUAAACAGUCAGACCAGAUCCCUGUUUAGCUAGCACCACGGUAGGUGUGUGUCUCAGUGUCCAGGUGUGUACAGGACCAGAUCCAUG
ensembl:lncRNA